UUCAGUCACUCUGAAAACAUAAAAGCGCCAAAUCUUUAGAGUCAGUUCUAGCAACCUCGGAAAAAGAUGAUUCCCCACGUGGCUCAAACCACGCUCUCAGUGUGAGAUUUCGAUUUCCUUCGCUUCAAGGGAGCGGGUUUGCCCUUGGCUGACUUUCCGUCCAUGAAGCGAACUGUCCGGUUGUCCAUUUUGCCGCCGAUCCCCGAAUUGGGUGUGGUUCUUCUUGGGAGAGUAUAGAGGGCUGGAGGAGGGAGUACAAUGUCACAAUCGAUGAGUGAUGGAGGAAUUUCUGACAUCGGAAGAUCGAGAGCCUAAAAAGAUAUUAGACAAAGACUAGAAAAACUUUGGGGCGGGCGAGCUGCUUAAAUGCCUGGCCCUGAGCCUUAUUGACAUAAGCCUUGAGAUCUGUAUGGUAUAGGGCUUAAAAUAAUUUGACAAGAACCCCCAUAGAGUGACGAGAACUCCACAGGCGCCUUCGGCUCGAAAAAAAAGUUUCGUCAUUUUCGAAAGGCUGGGUUCAGUCAGUUGCAAUUUCAAACGCAAGACAACCAUGAAAGAACUGGAAGAGGACGCUUGUUGGAGCAAACCCCGCUCUAAUUUAGAGAGGUAAGUAAGUAACACUGUUCGUUAUGACUGAAUGUAAAAAAGGGUGUUCAAUUUUCCGCUCUAACAUGUGAGCCUGUGAAGGCUGUUCCCGCCGUGCUAAUCUCAAGUUGCCAACUUUUCUGUUCGUUCUACAUCUUUUGUCUUCCAGAGUUAUGUGAACCACCCAAGAGAGAAGGCUAGAGCCCUCGAGAUAUCUUCCUUUGCUCAUUGGUUCAGCUACACGUUGUAUGUAACCAUCAAAAAUGCUUUACACACAAACUUGCUGGCCGUUCAUUACUGGCAUUCCUUCGGGUCCUCUUUCGUGUUUUGUUUUCCAUUCCUUUGGUCUUUUUUAAAAGUAAUUGGAAUUCAGAGAGCAAAUAACCAAGCGAGCCUUGCUGAACGAAACCCCGGAAGGAAACAAGGUUAUGGGGCAUCUCAAUUGAAAAGUCAGAGAUUGAAAGAUAACAUUGUCGGUGCCGGCAUUCUUGAUGACUUGGCACAAUUGAAUAAACUUUUCCUCUCAUCGGCCUCUCUUGUAUGCAAAGAGAUAUGAGAGAUAAUGCUGAAGGCCCUUUUUCGAGCUUGGCCAAGCAACUUGGCUGAUGAGAUUGGGAACAAUGGUUGGAUGACUAUCCGACCUAGCUUCUUAGCUUGCCACAUGGACUCUCGUGAAACUAAAUCUGCAUGAAUAAUGAGCUCGGAUCAAUGUACUUUUGCCUGGGAACGAGGCGAAUGUUGAUUGUGCUUUACCAGGGCUGAUAUUUGGAAUGACGGAGGUUCCGGUGGAGACGGGAGGCCGUUCUGCAGUAAUUGCAACGCAUCGUAGCUCGUCGAUGUGGGAUGCUUGGUAUGAAAGUUUCGAGGUAGCGUGGAGGCCACGAGAUCCGGUCGGGGGUCUCCACCCAAACUCCUUCGGUUUGAUGCCAUUCGUCCCAUACCUCGCAAUGAUAACGAGGUCAGUGUGGUGGACGGCUUCC